rnacentral:rRNA from 1 species
AGUACGUUUGACUCUGGCUCAGGACGAACGCUGGCGGCGCGCUUAACACAUGCAAGUCGAACGGAAGGCCUUUCGGGGUACUCGAGUGGCGAACGGGUGAGUAACACGUGGGUGAUCUGCCCUGCACUUUGGGAUAAGCCUGGGAAACUGGGUCUAAUACCGAAUAUACCCUGCUGGUCGCAUGGCCUGGUAGGGAAAGGCUUUUGCGGUGUGGGAUGGGCCCGCGGCCUAUCAGCUUGUUGGUGGGGUGAUGGCCUACCAAGGCGACGACGGGUAGCCGGCCUGAGAGGGUGACCGGCCACACUGGGACUGAGAUACGGCCCAGACUCCUGCGGGAGGCAGCAGUGGGGAAUAUUGCACAAUGGGCGCAAGCCUGAUGCAGCGACGCCGCGUGAGGGAUGACGGCCUUCGGGUUGUAAACCUCUUUCAGCACAGACGAAGCGCAAGUGACGGUAUGUGCAGAAGAAGGACCGGCCAACUACGUG